GUCGCAUUAAUUGACUUUUUUGGGCUCCAAAAGGCAAUUGGUCUCUAUUUUCCUCUAGAUUCUCAAUACGGUAAGCACACAUGACAAAACCAUCUCUCAAAAUUGAUAAUCUACCGAUUUCAUGGGAGAAUUCUUUUCGCCAUGGAUGCUCUGUUUCGUGAUUUUUUAUGCUGUCUGUAAUUUGAUCUAUAGCUGAAGCCAGCUCGUUGAUGGAUCAAAUGAUGGUUGAUAAACCAAUCUAAUCUCAAACUUCCAUCUAUUUGUUUGGAUUGAUACCAGAUUGUAAGUGUUGAGAUGCUCAGAAACAGAGUAUUUGUAGCUUGAUCUUUACAUAGUUUUCAUAUAAAGAGAUCGAUGUUUUAGAGAUAAUAUGAAUUCAAAAACUCAUACUUCAUUUCAUAAUGAUCAUCGUCUCUUAAAUUGUUUUCUCAUCGAUUUAUACAAAGAAAACACAACAAUUAUUCUCUAACAUUCACCUAACUUCAAAUAUUUCCACUAACCUUACUUAGACUCUAAACAACAUAGCUUAACAACACUUUCUGCUUUUACUGUUCUAACAAUUUCUUUGGAUUCCAACUGGUUCGGUUUAAAACUAAAAGGGCAUUACUCAACACUCUCACUUGCCAUUUUAUCAAUCAAACCGAGCUUGGUACGAAAUCUUUUAAAACUCUGGCCUCCCAAUGCUUUAGUGAAUAUAUCUGCCAGUUGUUCUUCACCCUUGCAGUAAUGCAGUUGAAUCUCCCCAUUUUUUUCAUAAUCUCUGACUACAUGAUAUUUGAUUUAGAUGUGCUUAGUCCUUCUAUGCUAAACAGGUUCUUUCCGAUUGCUAUUGCUGACUGGCUAUCGCAGUAAAUGGAUACCACCACUGGAGUGUGAACCCUUAGGUCUUCAAGUAGUCGUCUCAACCAAGUUGCUUGGUUUGAUGCUGCACACAGAGCCAUAUACUCUGCUUAUGCGGUUGAUUGAACGACAAUAUCUUGCUUGCUGGUUUGUCAUGUAAAAACAACUGAUCCAAUGCUAAAACAAUAGCCUGUUGUAGAUUUUAGAUUCUCUUUGCAUCCUCCCCAGUUACUAUCCGAAUGACCAAUCAGUUUAGAUUCCUUCACUGCGUUGAACAUUAGCCCUAUACCGAUUGUUCCUUUAAUAUAUCUCAGAACUCUUUUGGCAUCCUUGAGAUGAGAAAAUUUUGGUUCUUUCAAAUACCUGGAUAAGUAGGAAGCAGAAAACAUCAGAUCAGGUCGAGUAGCAGUUAGGUACAGCAAACCUCCUACUAAGCUUCUGUAGACACUGCCAUCGGCAAGAUCCUCUUCUUCAUCUGGAUUCUUAUGCUGAGUUAUAAGGGGUGUACUCAUGAUCUUUCAUUUCUCCAUAUUGAACUUCUUCUACAGUUUUCUCGCAUAACAUUCUUGAGACAGGAAUAUACCUUCUCGGCUUUGAACAAUUUCCAUUCCAAGGAAAUAGUUCAUAACCCCAAGUCUGACAUCUCAAACUCAUUCUUCAUUGCAGUCUUAAAGUCAUUCACCAUACUCUCAUCAUCUCCUGUGACAAUGAGAUCAUCUACAUAGAUACAAACAACCAGUAACUUCUCGUUGUCUUCUUUUGUGUACAAAGAAUGAUCAUUGUCACUUCUCCUGAAGUUUUCUCUCUUGAAAAACUCGUCAAUUCUGCUGUACUAAGCUCUCGGAGCUUGUUUUAAACCGUAGAGAGCCUUGUGCAACUACAGAACAUGUUCUUCCUUCUCUUUUCUUUCGAAUCCCAGAGGUUUUUCAGCAUAUAUCUCUUCAUCUAAUCUUUCAGUCAAAAAGGCAGACUUAACGACGAGUUGAAACCAUUUCCAUCUCUUUUGAGCCGCUACUGCAAAAAGCAGUCUGAUGGUUUCAUUUCUUGAAAAUGGAGCAAAAGUCUUGUGGUAAUCCACACCAUAUUGUUGAGUAAAACCUUUGGCGACUAGCCUCGCCUUGUGUUUCACCACAUUUCUUUUGGCAUCAGUCUUUAAUCUGUAUAUCCAUUUCACUCCCACAACGUUCUUGCCAGGUGGUCUUUCGACUAGUUCCCAGGUCUCAUUCUUUUUGAUCAUCUGUAUCUCUUCUUUCAUUGCCUCCUUCCAUUCCUUGUGUUUGAAUGCUUCUUCAAACAGAGAUGGUUCUUCUAAACUGCUGUAGCAUCCUUUCAUUACUGCAGAGUAUUCUAUGUCUGCGUAUGGAGCAGUAAGUAGAAUAUAUGAAAGUGAUCGAGUUCUUUUGUUCACUCGCCUUGAGCUUCCUCCUGGACUUCUGUAAUCGGUACUUGUGGAUGCAGGGCUUUCAUCUCAUGGUUCAUUAUAGUUGUUUGGUUCUGCUUCUCCAGUUUCAGAGACUUCUUCUUCAGUUUUGAUUUCAAGAGGUAUGUUUUGAUCCUUUACCACUUCUUUAUUUCCCCAGUCCCACUUUCUGUCUUCGUCGAAGAUGACAUCUCUAGAGAUGUCUAUCUUGUUUUCUUCCAGAAGAUACAUUUUGUACCUUUUUUUUGAGACCUGUAACCAACAAAUAUUCCUCUCUUAAACUUAUCAUCUCACUUUCUUCUUUUCUCGCUUGGGAUAUGGACAUAGUAGAGGCAUUCGAAUACUUUCAUAUGCCCUACUCCUGGUUUGGAACCAUUCCAUGCUUCAAGAGGAGUUUUUCUUUUUGGAGCUCUUGUUGGUGUUCUGUUUUGAACAUAAGCGGCAUUGUAGACCGUUUCUGCCCAAAAUUUUAAGGGUAAAACUUUUGCUUUAACCAUUGAUCUGCUCAAAGUUUAAUCCCUAAGCUACUCUGUAAGAGCACAUAUGUGCAGUUGUAGUAUGUAGGGGUCGAACCACAGAGACAAGAGAUCACUCAAUAAACUUUAUAGAGUUUGAGUUACGCUAAGAAGAAAUAUUGAAACUAAAUGGCAAUGCGACAGAAGUAAAUUAAGCAGCAAUAAAAAUGGUUUGUAAGUUCGAUUUGAUAAAGAUUAGGUCUAGGGCGUUUUUCAGGAGAUCAAUGAAUGCAUGUCAACUUAACUAAUCAGGAUUCAGUUUUAAGCACGGUUCUUGAACUCGAAACACAGAAUUAUAAUUAACCAACUUCCGUUGUGAGAAUUAUCUAAGUUAAAAUCUUAGAAUUCCAAAUUCCUUUGCAAAUCCUACAGAUUUAAACCAGCUUUAAUGCACAAGUUCGAUAUGUUCACAAAGCAUCUAAACCAAAUUCCUUUGCGAAUAGCUACUUUGCUCACCCUAGGUUCUUUCCAGUUAUUCAAUUACACUUCCGUGUCAAUUAAGCAACCUAAGAUCUAAGUUCUAGGUGAUCAAUCUAGAAUAAGCAUUAAGAACAACCUAAGAUGAAGAACUAAUAAAUAUGAACCCUAACUAGCAAGUUAAUCAAUCAUUCAAAGCAAACCCUAAUUAACCCUAAACCUAACAGGUGAUCUACUCAGACAUGAUUAUUGGAACAACAAACAUGAUGAAUAGAAGGCAAUAGAUUAAAUCAAAAUAGAUAAAGGGGUUCGAAAUCUUCUCUCUAAACGAACAGAGUUUCAGACUUGUCUCCCCAAGCUCUCAAAAAUCGCUAAAGCCGAAAACUCAGAGUAUCUUUCUCUCAAAAAUCUAAAGUAUCGAUAAUAAGGGAAUAAAAAUCCUAUAUAUAUUUCUAAAACACGUUUUGGGCUUCCUUGGAAACGUUUAGGCCCAACUCCUUCUUCAAAUAGGAAACAAAAUUCGUCUUUUCCUUAUUUCUUUGACAAGUGUCGAGCGUCACUCUCCAUGGUGUCGAGCGACACUAAAGCACGAAAUCCAUCCUUGACGAAUUUGAUCCUAGUUUAGCUCCAAAGUGCUCCAAAAUCUCCAGUUAAGCUCCAAGCGUACCUAAGACCUGUAAAGACUCCAAAAGACUCGAAAGACACCAAAAAAAAUUCUAUAAAUAAGACCUAUACCAUGGUUUAAAAUCAUAAAAACCAUGAUAUAUCAACUCCCCCAGACUUAGCAUUUGCUUGCCCUCAAGCAAACAGAAUACCAAAUAAAAGAAAGAGGUUUGAAAACACAGAGACUCAACUUUUCAUUGGAACAUCGCUUUUGACCGAUCACCCUGCAACUCAACUACUGCUUCAUCAUUCCAAAUCGAACCACCAUGUACUUCUCCGUAGACAUUCACAGCUUCCCAGAUUAAGUCCAAAAUUCCACAACAUUGUCCAUAAACCUUCAUCGCUGGGUCUCACUGAUGAUUCAGAUGCCAAGAACCUUCUAGACUCUUUCCCGUUCUAUACUCAAACAAAUCAGCCAUACACACUUUGGUACUUUUUCUCUCCCCCAGACUUAUUCUUUUCGCGCACUCAUCAUCUUUUUUUUUAUGGCAUAUACUCGAUAAGGGUAAAGCUGCGAGUACUGAUGGUGUUUGCCAUCAAGUCCCCGAGUUGUCCCCUUACCUUGUAUCAAAGCUUUUCAGCGAAUAGUGGGGUCAUAGGAAACUUUCCUACCCCUCACUUCCUUCCUUUGUGUGAUCAUUCCAACUUAGAAGUGAAAUAAUUGGAUCAUUGGAAACAUUCCUAACCCUUCACUCCUAAGCGAAAAUCAUCUCAAUCUUUUCACCCUUUUUCUUUCUUUCUUCACUUUUUAGCUUGUCACAGGGAGAGAAACACCAGCAUUAAAUUUCACACAGGCUUUCAUUUGUCAAGUAUGAACGAGGAAUCAAGCUCUAUGAACAUCAGUCACAUCAAUGAGUUAAAAGUGAAGUUCAGAACUUAGCUCAGGUUAGUGGAUUCUGUUGGAAACAUGGACGCCUCUAGUCAACUGGUCAGCCUUUGGAUUUUUCAUUAGUCGGAUCUAGACUGAAUCUGCAGCAGUGGUCACUUAGAUGAAAGGUCAGCAUAAUAAUUCCAGGAAAAGCAUCAUAAUCUCCAACAAGUUUUGACUCAAAAACUUUUUGACACGACUGACUCAUAAGAAAAACAGACACAAUGUCAGCAACUACCUCCCCCAGACUUGAACAACACUGUCCCCAGUGUUAUCUAGUCCGAAGUUGACGAAACAAGAGAAAAGAAACAGAGAAACACAGGAAAAACGGAGAACUUACCUGGCUGCAAUGAUGGUGUCGCGCGACACUUAUGAUGGUGUCGUGCGACACUUGUUCUCUUCGUACCAAAUAGCAGCAGACCAAUCUGAAUUUCUGGUUUGACUCCGGUUACCUGAUUUCCUUUUUUUUUUAUUGGCGCCGUUGCCGGGGAGUCAUGAGGAAGGAGUGAUGAUGAUUUCUGAACAGGUCAGUGCUGUGAUUCAGAAUAAGAUUCCAGAGAAACUCUCAGACCCAGGAAGCUUUGUUUUGGACUGCUCUAUCUUCUCAGAGAGGUUCAAGAGAUCGCUGUGUGAUCUUGGUUCAAGUGUUAACCUAAUGCCAUACUCUGUAGCUGUUAGCCUUGGGAUGACUGAUUUCAAGCCAACUAAGAUCUCUUUGAUCCUAGCAGAUCGAUCUAAAAGAAUCCCAAAAGGUGUCUUGGAGGAUGUUCCGAUUAAAGUUGGUGAUUGCAUAAUUCCUACAGAUUUCGUGGUUCUGGAAUAUGGAGAGAAACCCAAAGAUCCUCUUAUCCUGGGAAGAUCGUUUUUAGCUACAGCUGGAGCGGUAAUUGAUGUCAAGCAUGGUAACCUUGAUCUCCACUUGGGAGAUACCAUCAUGACUUUCAAGAUGGAGAAGCUGAAGGAUCCAACCAUAGAUGGUCAGACAUUCCAAGUCAGUGCAAUACCUGAAGUGAUAGUUGGAGAUCAGAACGUGUUUGAUGCUGAGAAGGUGAAAGAUCAACCUGAGUUGACUAAGACGUCUACAGAACCAGUAGCUGCUAUUGCACAGAAAGCUCACAACAUCAAGUUCCAUUCAUCUCCACCAAAGAAUAGGUCAAGGUCACCCAAACACAGAUCUCACCCUGGUGUUAUUCCUGCAUUCCUUGGACGACCUCAUUGAUAACUUAGAGUUUUCACUCUUUAUAGAGGUUAUCAAUACCCCUGUCCUUGUAGUACAAGGGGUUAUCAAUCCAAGCUUGUAGUGGAGACACUAUCUAUGUCAUUUGUUGACUUAAGUCAAGACAGAUCGAUGAAGGUUUUUACUAAGCUAAGUAACAAGCGAAUGAGCAUAAAAGUAAAGCAAAUGAUGAGAUUUAAACAAAGCUAAGAUGCAAAUGACAAAUAAACGAUUCGGAUGAUGACAAUGAAUGAUAAAGGCAGAAGCUUUAGACAGGAUAUUUGACUCGGGUGCUUCCAAGCUAAACUAAUGGGCUAAUGAAUCAUUUUAUCAAGCGAUUUCAUUUGACUAUGAACUCAAGGCAUGUUAAUCUUCUCAUGAAAGUAUUAAGCAUCUAAACUGAUCCUCUUUCAUACCAAAAUCCCUUUUGAGAAGCAUGAAUCAGUCAGCAAUAAGAUUCAGUUCAAAAAUGCCAUUUAAGAGAACAAACUAUCACUCUCGCGAUGAAAGACUCUUAAACCCUUAACCGAGUGGUUCAGACAUUUCUACAAACACUUUUGAUGCGAGAUAUGUCUAAGAUCUGAACCUCAAGUGAUGUGCUUGGAUCCAGCCUAGAGAUCUCGGCGGUUAAGGAAUGAAACAUGCAAGACUAGACACCUAAACCCAUUAAUCUAUCUUGAAAGCACCCUAAUCUACCUAUCUAAAGCCUCUUAAACGACUACUCACUGAUCAUAACGAGCUCACUAAGUCCUUUGCAAGACGUGUAGCUUGUCAUGAUAAGGAGUUUAAUACUGAAUGAUAAAAGAAAUAAAGAAAGAACAAGAUUUCUGAUGCAAAAACGAGAUAUCGGAUUAGAUUAAUCAACUUUCAUAAAAGAGGCAAGUUCUUAGAGCUAAAACAGAUAAGAGAUAAGAUGAUUAGGUUUUUGGUCCUAAAAUAUAUUUAUAGCAAAGGGAAAGUGCCGCGGGUCAGCCCGGAACAAACCAGAUACUGAGCCGCCUUCUUGGGUUGAUGGGUGAGUGCCACGGUGUGUCGGAGAGUGAAGCCGAGGUCUUCAUGUCGAGGAGUGCACGUGAGUUAGGAUCCAAAUGAAGAUCUCGUGAAGAACACGUCAAGAACAUGCAUGAACCCUAGUCUUUGAUCCAUCUUCACGUGUGUGUUCUUGAGCCGUCUUGUUCUUGAUUCUGGGUUUGUGACAAGGGGCCUCGGGAUAAAAUGCCGAGGAGCUUGGUAGUCGAGGGGUUUGGGAGAACAGAGUCCGGCAUGCACGCCGAGGUCAUUACACCGAGGUGCACGUUCAACACUUAGUCGUUUCCAGAUUCACUUCUUACGUGUGCAUGCCUUGAUCCCAACGUGCCGAGGCGCCAGCACGAGGUCUAGUCCAAAGUACCCCCAAGAUACGAGCCUUGAGCAAUGCCGAGGCAAUGAUGCCGCGGCCUGAGAAAAUACUUAGCGUGUAUCGCAACUCAUUUAGGCUCGUAUCGACCAUAUUGCCUUCCGGAGAUAGUAGCUUUCAACACACGACUCCAAUUGCUCUGAGGCCAGUUCCAUAGUCAAGAUGACUCAAUAAGCUCGAACUUUGGUGCAGAAAUCGUUGGAGCUUGGGAAGUGGAAGGCUUUCUGGAUUUCACAUCUUUGCACCGCAUUGGAUUCACCAGAAAAUGAGCUUUUGGACUGAUGUGAACUCCGGAGAGCUUAUCUUUCAAACCAUUGAUCCGAAUUGAGUGAUUCCAAGCGUUCUGAGAAGAGCUUUCACAGAUCUCAAACUUUGAUGAAGACCGGGCAAGCUAGUUCGGAUCGGAAAGGCUCCGUCCGUUGUAAUCUCUGAAAUCCGCUGUUCGGUUCUCGAGUACGUGUAAUGCUGGUGCUUCUUCCGGAAGCUGUAUCUUCCUCCUCACUGGUUCGAAUUGGAUGAUUCCAACUGUUCCGGGAUCUUUGCUUGAUUAUCUCCAACUUGGGUGAAGACCCCGCUAACUGAUUCGGACCGGAAGGUUCCCCGGAUUGCUGAUCUUUGAAACGCGCAGGCAAGGACAGGUUUUGGUCGAGAAAAGCUUCCCGCGGUAAGGAAAAUGACCGAGGGCUAUGUACCGCGGUAAGCUUUUUAGCCGUAAAAUUCUUCUCGCCUCGGCCAAAAACUUAACCCGUGGUAUUUUGCACCCGAUACUCGACCCAGGCUGAUUUUGGUCGAUCGGUAAGGGUUUUGGUCGGUAAUGAGCGUUCGGUAAGCUUUUUGACCGAGGUUUCUGUCCAGCCGGUACGUGUUUUGGCCGAGAAAUUCCUCCAGGCGUUUUUCAUCAUUUUUGACCCUUUUCUUCACCGUUUUCUUCUCUGAUCCUCUUCUUAAGCUCCAAAUGGCUCCCAAAGCACCUGAUAAAGACUUCAAAACAUGCAAAACUCCUUGGGACCUAAUGCAAGCCCUAAAUCCUAUUUUCAUGCCUAAAGACUCAAUUUACAUGGGAAAACACAUGAUGAGGACUCUAAAAUGCACUCUAAAUGAUGUAAAAUAUAAACAUAUCACUCCUGCGCACAACGCUUACACACCACCAUGGAUGAGACGACUUUCACAAAGGCAUUCUAUGCCAUUGUCUGAACCACCAGAUGGAUAAUCUAUCCAUAGUCAAGCUAAUGACUUAAAACAAGCGCUUGGUGGAAGGCAAUCCACUGGUAAGUCUGUACAUAAGUCUUUUUGUUUCAGCUGAUUUUCGUUUUUCGUUUUCGUGUUUUAGGUGAAGCAGAGCCUGGUGUCGAGCGACACCAGCAUCGGUGUCGCUUGUCACUUGUUUCUGUAAAAAAAAAAAAAUUGGAAAAUCAGGAAACCGGAGUAAAACCAGAAAUUCGGAUUGGUCUGCUGCAAUUUGGUACGAGAAGAACAAGUGUCGCACGACACCAUCAUAAGUGUCGCUCGACACCAUCAUUGCAACCAGGUAAGUUCUCUGUUUUUCCUGCGUUUCUCUGUUUCCUUUCUUUUGUUUCACCAACUUCGGACUAGAUAACACUGGGGACAGUGUUGUUUAAGUCUGGAGGAGGUAGUCACUAACAUUGUGUUUGUUUUUCUUAAGAGUCAGUUGUGUCAAAACGUUUUUGAGUCAAAACUUGUUGGAGAUUAUGAUGCUUUUCCUGGAAUUAUUGUGCUGACCUUUCAUCUAAGUAACCACUGCUGCAGAUUCAGUCUAGAUCCGACUCAUGAAAAAUUCAAAGGCUGACCAGUUGACUAGAGGCGUCCAUGUUUCCAGUGAAAGGUUGUUUUUGAGAGCUUUUGAGGAGACAAGUCUGAAACUCUGUUCGAGAGAGAGAAGAUUUUGAACCCCUA
rnacentral:lncRNA from 1 species